AAGUCAGUUGUGAAAGUUUGCGGCUCAACCGUAAAAUUGCAGUUGAUACUGGCAGUCUUGAGUGCAGUAGAGGUGGGCGGAAUUCGUGGUGUAGCGGUGAAAUGCUUAGAUAUCACGAAGAACUCCGAUUGCGAAGGCAGCUCACUGGAGUGUAACUGACGCUGAUGCUCGAAAGUGUGGGUAUCAAACAGGAUUAGAUACCCUGGUAGUCCACACAGUAAACGAUGAAUACUCGCUGUUUGCGAUAUACAGUAAGCGGCCAAGCGAAAGCAUUAAGUAUUCCACCUGGGGAGUACGCCGGCAACGGUGAAACUCAAAGGAAUUGACGGGGGCCCGCACAAGCGGAGGAACAUGUGGUUUAAUUCGAUGAUACGCGAGGAACCUUACCCGGGCUUAAAUUGCAAAUGAAUUAUGGGGAAACCCAUACGCCGCAAGGCAUUUGUGAAGGUGCUGCAUGGUUGUCGUCAGCUCGUGCCGUGAGGUGUCGGCUUAAGUGCCAUAACGAGCGCAACCCUUAUCUUCAGUUACUAACAGGUCAUGCUGAGGACUCUGGAGAGACUGCCGUCGUAAGAUGUGAGGAAGGUGGGGAUGACGUCAAAUCAGCACGGCCCUUACGUCCGGGGCUACACACGUGUUACAAUGGGGGGUACAGAAGGCCGCUACCUGGUGACAGGAUGCCAAUCCCAAAAACCUCUCUCAGUUCGGAUCGAAGUCUGCAACCCGACUUCGUGAAGCUGGAUUCGCUAGUAAUCGCGCAUCAGCCAUGGCGCGGUGAAUACGUUCCCGGGCCUUGUACACACCGCCCGUCAAGCCAUGAAAGCCGGGGGUACCUGAAGUACGUAACCGCAAGGAGCGUCCUAGGGUAAAACUGGUA
rnacentral:rRNA from 1 species